CCAGCAUGCUAUCAUUUGCGAUUGUGGAUUUUUUGGAUGGUGGAGGUGUAGCUAUUGUACCUUGCAAGUGGUUUACUGGACCAGAGGAAGAUGCUUGUUACUGGCCACCAGGACGAAUGAACAUCAGCAAGGCAGUGACUACCCGCAGUAUAAAGUGCGCGUCUUGGGAAAAGCAGGAAACUAUGCCCACGCCACAGCAAAGCUUUUAAAGUCUGAGGCGACCUCAGACUUGCAGUCCGAGUCAGAUUCUGGAAGUAGGAUGGGAAAAGAGAAGCGCAAAAGAAGGCCAGUGUGUCUGUCAAGCUCAGAUGAGGAUGGUGCUGGGCAUGAUCAUGCAGCCAGUGGGGCUUUAUCCCCCCCAAUUCCAAAGAACCUCCAACUGCAGGCUGCCCACUCACUCAAGACCCGUCCAUUUAUCCAGCCCCCUCCACCUUCAACUCCUUUAAUGCCUGUUACUUCAGACCGACCCAGUACAAUUCUUCAAGAUGCCAGUUCUGCAUUUAGAGAUCGCAUUUACCUCCCCCAGUGCCAGAGAACCUCCAACCAGAGGCUCCCCACUUGCACAGGACCCGUCCAUAUAUUCAGCCCUCUCCAAUUUCAACACCUUCAAUGGCUGUUACACCAGACCACCCCAGUAGAGUUCUGCAAGGUGCCAGUUCUUCAUUUAGAGAUGGCAUUAUUUGCCCGUCUCCUAACUGUCCUGGAGGAAAUAAAGGAGACGCAGAGGGUUCAUGGGAGGAUGAUACAAUCACUCCUCACACAACAGGAUGCAAGAGCAGUUGCUGCUCUUCCAGAGGACAUCGUUUUCCCCCUGAGGACAGUCUCGGACGUUACUGCAAUGGAGCAAAAAUUGUUAGACCCCACCUUCCAAAAACAAGUGGUAUGUUCUAAUAUGACCAAUUUAGCAGGUUCACAGGUCCUAAUGUUAAUGUUUUUUCACAUACAGUACUUUGCAAAAGUCUUCGGCCACCACCAGCUUUGUUGUUAAAGCAAAGUUUUAAUGACUAUCCAUAUUUAUUUUUCGGUUUCUUUAUUAACAUAAACAGAAGGUACAGGAAAAAUGUACACAAAAUAAGAACAACAAAAACGGUUUUCAUAACAAAAUGGCUUCUUCAGGCAAAAGUCAAUAUUUUGUGUAACCUCUCAUACCUCUUUUGGGGAGACGGUCCUUAAGUUUUCUUAAGUAAUCUUCUGGCAUAUUAUAACAGGCUUCUUUGUGCACUUCCCAGAGUUCAUCUUUAGAUUUAGGCUGUAUUUUAUUUCUUUCUGUCUACAGUCGUGGCCAAAAGUUUUGAGAAUUACAUAAAUAUUGGAAAUUGGAAAAGUUGCUGCUUAAGUUUUUAUAAUAGCAAUUUGCAUGUACUCCAGAAUGUUGUGAAGAGUGAUCAGAUGAAUUGCAUAGUCCUUCUUUGCCAUGAAAAUGAACUUAAUCCCAAAAAAACCUUUCCACUGCAUUUCAUUGCUGUCAUUAAAGGACCUGCUGAGAUCAUUUCAGUAAUCAUCUUGUUAACUCAGGUGAGAAUGUUGAGGAGCACAAGGCUGGAGAUCAUUAUGUGAGGCUGAUUGGGUUAGAAUGGCAGACUUGACAUGUUAAAAGGAGGGUGAUGCUUGAAAUCAUUGUUCUUCCAUUGUUAACCAUGGUGACCUGCAAAGAAACUUCUGCAGAAAGUAUAGUGAAUGGACUGCUGAGGACUGGGGCAAAGUCAUAUUCUCCGAUGAAGCCCCUUUCCGAUUGUUUGGGGCAUCUGGAAAAAGGCUUGUCCGGAGAAGAAAAGGUGAGCGCUACCAUCAGUCCUGUGUCAUGCCAACAGUAAAGCAUCCUGACACCAUUCAUGUGUGGGGUUGCUUCUCAUCCAAGGGAGUGGGCUCACUCACAAUUCUGCCCAAAAACACAGCCAUGAAUAAAGAAUGGUACCAAAACA
ensembl:lncRNA